GACGAACGCUGGCGGCGCGCCUAACACAUGCAAGUCGAACGGUAAGGCCUUCGGGUACACGAGUGGCGAACGGGUGAGUAACACGUGGGUGAUCUGCCCUGCACUUUGGGAUAAGCCUGGGAAACUGGGUCUAAUACCGGAUAGGACCAUGGCCUGCAUGGGUUGUGGUGGAAAGCUUUUGCGGUGUGGGAUGGGCCCGCGGCCUAUCAGCUUGUUGGUGGGGUGAUGGCCUACCAAGGCGACGACGGGUAGCCGGCCUGAGAGGGUGUCAGGCCACACUGGGACUGAGAUACGGCCCAGACUCCUACGGGAGGCAGCAGUGGGGAAUAUUGCACAAUGGGCGCAAGCCUGAUGCAGCGACGCCGCGUGGGGGAUGACGGCCUUCGGGUUGUAAACCUUUUUCAAUAGGGACGAAGCGUGAGUGACGGUACCUAUAGAAGAAGCACCGGCCAACUACGUGCCAGCAGCCGCCGUAA
rnacentral:rRNA from 1 species